UACGUAGGUGGCAAGCGUUGUCCGGAAUUAUUGGGCGUAAAGCGCGCGCAGGCGGCCUUUUUAGUCUGAUGUGAAAUCUUGCGGCUCAACCGCAAGCGGCCAUUGGAAACUGGGAGGCUUGAGUACAGAAGAGGAGAGUGGAAUUCCACGUGUAGCGGUGAAAUGCGUAGAUAUGUGGAGGAACACCAGUGGCGAAGGCGACUCUCUGGUCUGUAACUGACGCUGAGGCGCGAAAGCGUGGGGAGCAAACAGG
rnacentral:rRNA from 1 species